rnacentral:lncRNA from 1 species
AGGUUAUCAUGUUACGCUCGGUAUUUAAUUCUUAAUAGUAAAAGUAUGGUCUCUCGGAACUGACAUGCUGUUCUGUCUUUUGCAAAGACAACUAUUUGAAAGGAAAUUUGAUAAUGAAGUUCAACAAAUUCAAAUAUGAGGAAAUAGAUUAACCGAGGAUGUUGCAAAGAUAAUGAAGAGUUAGAAAGAAGAAACAUUAGUUUUCCCACUAGAGGAAGAAUCUUUAUUGUUGUUGUGGAAUGUCGUCUCAGAAUCUCAAAGAUUCCACCACUGGAAUAUCACUAUGAUUCUUUUCAUCUUUGGAACAACACUCUGAUUCCAUUUCAUCAAUGCAUCACGUUAUCCUUCCCUUCUUUCCUCCCUUCUGUCUGAUAAUUUCAUUAAUAUGAAAAAAUAUAUUAGAUGCGGGAAUUUUGUGCACCGAUGAUUCGAGUUGUGCACGCAGCUGCAAAACUUUGCGAAAAGCUGUUUCAGACGUGUACUAGUUGAGCAGUGCUUUGAAGGUCUCGUAGCACUCGAGUCAAUAAAGCUUGAUAUAAAUUUAGUUAAAGUUUGUAUAAGUUUGAGUUGUUUUCUCUUUUUUGAUUACGUGUUUAGAAUGGCUAAGCAGAAAAACAGGGCAAGGGAGACUAAUGCACUUAAAGAAAGACUCGAAAGACCUCUAUCUGAAUCAAAUGGACAAGAUGAUGCAAUUGCGCUAUUAUUGUUCAGUAAACUGUACUAGUAUAUAUUAUCUU